rnacentral:rRNA from 1 species
AUUGAACGCUGGCGGCAGGCUUAACACAUGCAAGUCGAGCGAGCGGCGGACGGGUGAGUAAUGUCUGGGAAACUGCCUGAUGGAGGGGGAUAACUACUGGAAACGGUAGCUAAUACCGCAUACCAUCAGAUGUGCCCAGAUGGGAUUAGCGCGUCGGUGGGGUAAUGGCUCACCUAGGCGACGAUCCCUAGCUGGUCUGAGGGGAUGACCAGAAACAAGGUAACUGAGACAGGGUCCAGACUACUAGGGGAGUCAGCAGGGGGGAAGAGUGCACAAUGGCGCAAGCCUGAGGCAGCCAUGCCGCGUGUGUGAAGAAGGCCUGCGGGUUGUAAAGCACUUUCAGCGAGGAGGCGUUACUCGCAGAAGAAGCACCGGCUAACUCCGUGCCAGCAGCCGCGGUAAUUC